rnacentral:lncRNA from 1 species
GGCGGGAUUCCUCAAGCUGUGGUGUGCGUAUGCAGGCUGUGGUGUAAGUCCCCAGGCUAUGAUGUAAACCUACCCUUGGCUCCAGCUCUCCUAGCCUGGGAAUCCCGGGGCACUCUUGGUCCUGAUGCCAGGCCCAGGGGCCAGCGUCCUCCUCCAGACUUGCUUUUCCAAGAGGCCCCACCUCUGCCAGCUGGCUCGUCCGAGACAGGAACAAGGGCGUCCUCCGAGGUGAUCUGCUGCCUCCGCCUUGCUGGCUGCUGUCCUUGAAACGGUAGCUUAUCAAGGUAGGAAGAUGGGAAAUUCCGCUCUCUACUAUCCCAUCACACUUGUGGUUCACGUUUGUGCCAUGAAUCAAUGUCACGUCUGGAAGUCAGAGGUACUUAAACUUAACCCAAAUGCACAUUCUUUCCCUUUUUGAAAACUAAGAAACAUCUUGUGUUUCCCUGGCUAUUGGCUUCUUUCCCAAAUUUCUCAGAAUUCAUGGACAGUGGCUCUGUAAUCUUAUCUCCAAGUUCUGAUGAGAUUCCUCUGAAGCUGAAGCUUGUGUAAUUUCGCCAGAUGCUCCCACACCUCUUCUCUGAUCUUAGGCUUGAUAUUCUUCUUCUGGAAUCUGCCUUUACACUUCUAGUUUGAGAAUUACUACUCUUUUUAUUUUUUUUUAAGAUUUUAUUUAUUUAUUCAUGAGAGACACACAGGCAGAGGGAGAAGCAGGCUCCUCGCAGGGGAGCCCGAUGUGGGACUCGAUCCCAGGACCCCGGGAUCACAACCUGAGCCAAAGGCAGACGCUCAACCACUGAGCCACCCAGAUGCCCCAAGAA